rnacentral:rRNA from 1 species
CGACGUAGGCAACCUGCCUUGUAGCGGGGGAUAACUAUUGGAAACGAUAGCUAAUACCGCAUAACAAUGGAUGACCCAUGUCAUUUAUUUGAAAGGGGCAAAUGCUCCACUACAAGAUGGACCUGCGUUGUAUUAGCUAGUAGGUGAGGUAACGGCUCACCUAGGCGACGAUACAUAGCCGACCUGAGAGGGUGAUCGGCCACACUGGGACUGAGACACGGCCCAG